UACGUAGGGGGCUAGCGUUGUCCGGAAUCAUUGGGCGUAAAGCGCGCGUAGGCGGCCAGAUAAGUCCGGUGUGAAAGUCACAGGCUCAACCUGUGAAUGCCGCUGGAAACUGUCUGGCUAGAGUCCGGAAGGGGCGAGUGGAAUUCCUGGUGUAGCGGUGAAAUGCGCAGAUAUCAGGAGGAACACCAGUGGCGAAGGCGGUGCUCUGGGCCGGUACCGACGCUGAGGAGCGAAAGCUAGGGGAGCGAACGGG
rnacentral:rRNA from 1 species